rnacentral:rRNA from 1 species
CACUCCUGCGGGAGGCAGCAGUGAGGAAUAUUGGACAAUGGGUGGAAGCCUGAUCCAGCCAUCCCGCGUGCAGGAAGACGGCCCUAUGGGUUGUAAACUGCUUUUAUCUGGGGAUAAACCUACUUACGUGUAAGUAGCUGAAGGUACCAGAAGAAUAAGCACCGGCUAACUCCGUGCCAGCAGCCGCGGUAAUACGGAGGGUGCAAGCGUUAUCCGGAUUUAUUGGGUUUAAAGGGUCCGUAGGCGGACUGAUAAGUCAGUGGUGAAAUCCGACAGCUUAACUGUCGAACUGCCAUUGAUACUGUUAGUCUUGAGUAAGGUUGAAGUGGCUGGAAUAAGUAGUGUAGCGGUGAAAUGCAUAGAUAUUACUUAGAACGCCAAUUGCGAAGGCAGGUCACUAAGUCUUAACUGACGCUGAUGGACGAAAGCGUGGGGAGCGAACAGGAUUAGAAACCCCAGUAGUCCCAU